rnacentral:rRNA from 1 species
AGUGAACGCUGGCGGUAGGCCUAACACAUGCAAGUCGAACGGCAGCACAGUAAGAGCUUGCUCUUACGGGUGGCGAGUGGCGGACGGGUGAGGAAUACAUCGGAAUCUACUUUUUCGUGGGGGAUAACGUAGGGAAACUUACGCUAAUACCGCAUACGACCUACGGGUGAAAGCAGGGGAUCUUCGGACCUUGCGCGAUUGAAUGAGCCGAUGUCGGAUUAGCUAGUUGGCGGGGUAAAGGCCCACCAAGGCGACGAUCCGUAGCUGGUCUGAGAGGAUGAUCAGCCACACUGGAACUGAGACACGGUCCAGACUCCUACGGGAGGCAGCAGUGGGGAAUAUUGGACAAAGGGCGCAAGCCUGGUCCAGCCAUACUGCGUGGGUGAAGAAGGCCUUCGGGUUGUAAAGCCCUUUUGUUGGGAAAGAAAAGCAGCAGGUUAAUACCCCGCUGUUCUGACGGUACCCAAAGAAUAAGCACCGGCUAACUUCGUG